rnacentral:lncRNA from 1 species
AAUGCAGAAAUUUUAAGAAUUAAGAUAGUUAGAUCAGUGUUGUUUUCCUUUAUGGACUUCUGGCCUUUGAUGUUAUGCUAAGAAAAAGCUGCCUGCUAUCUAAGAGUAUAGAAUAUCCUUCCAGGUUUUCUUACGUCAUUCUUAGUUGUUGGUUUGGGGGGACUAUUGCUUAUAAUUCAUAGGCAGUUUAUCUUGACUUGUACGUUGAGCUAGGGAUCCAGUGUUAUUUUUUUCCCACUGCAUCACUCAGUUUGAAAUGUCAGCUUUGUUGUA